rnacentral:rRNA from 1 species
GAGUUUGAUCCUGGCUCAGGAUGAACGCCGGCGGUGUGCCUAAUACAUGCAAGUCGUACGCACUGGCCCAACUGAUUGAUGGUGCUUGCACCUGAUUGACGAUGGAUCACCGGUGAGUGGCGGGACGGGUGAGUAACACGUAGGUAACCUGCCCCGGAGCGGGGGAUAACAUUUGGAAACAGAUGCUAAUACCGCAUAACAACAAAGGCCACAUGGCUUUUGUUUGAAAGAUGGCUUUGGCCAUCACUCUGGGAUGGACCUGCGGUGCAUCAGCUAGUUGGUAAGGUAACGGCUUACCAAGGCGAUGAUGCAUAGCCGAGUUGAGAGACUGAUCGGCCACAAUGGAACUGAGACACGGUCAUACUCCGUACGGGAGCAGC